AAAUUGAAGGAGCCUGGGUCUUCAAUGACUUUAUCUGUAGGAGAGCUGACCUACUGGCUGCAUGGCCCUGACUGUUAAUAGUAAAGAAAAACAUGUUUAGAAGGUUCUAGGCGUGAAGGCAUCUCUAUUUCCAGUCUCUCAGAGCUGUGAAAGUUAUUAGACUGUGCUCAGACUGCUAAGAUGUUGUCUGAAGACUUCCAGAGCAAGGAUUGCAGCAAGCAGCACAGAAGUUGAGCUGCCUUUGGUGACUGAGCUGUGGAAGUCCUAUAGCACCACUUCUGCCACGUUCCAUUGGUUAACACUGAAAGACAAGCUCAUCCAGAUUCAAGGGUUGGGCCAGUGAUGAAAAAACACAGAUAGCAUAUUUCCCACCUUGAAACACCACCACACAUCCAAGUGUGUGUUCAGUAGUUGAAUGUCCAGCAAGACGUGUGAAAGGUACGGAGGUGUGAAACAGAUCUUCCUCAGUUGGGACUCUCCUGUGCAUUAAGGAUGUCUGGCACCCUGGCUCCUUCCCACCAAAUGCCUGUAGUGCCCCACAAACGUGGAAGCAUGUCGUUCCCCUUGGGAGGUGGAGACCACUUAUUGUGCUCCUAAAGGAGCAUGAAGAGUUGCCUCUGUGGUCUUGAGGGGCUGGCGAAAUUAAGGUUUGACUUCUUAGGCAGCAGGAGAAUUCUUCAGAAAAGAAGGGAUCAGAGGCUGAGUGCUCCUUGGGUGGAGGAGACCAAGGUCUCACCAGAACAUAGAGUCUAGGAGAUGUUGUAACUCCCAAACGACAGCUGUACGGGUACGGGGGAGGGCUGUGCACUAAGAGUCUGCACAGGGGGACUAAAGCUGAGGUGGUGGUGACGACAUGGAUGCCACCUGCAGAGCAGUCCUCCUUUGCAUGUGGAUGGGCGUGAUGAGCGGCUCAACUGUGACCACGGUCUCUCCUCCGCUAUUUCCUCGGGAUUCUGUUAACUUGGGGGCUUCCUCCUAAGAGAGCAGAGGGAGCAUUUUAAAAUGACUGACAUUGCUGACCACUGCAAGUGGGAGUUCAGAAGUAGAUCUGAUUUGAUAUCAUAAGGAAAGGUGACAUUUCCUAGGACUUUGAGUAUGAGGAACAACUGAUUACACUAGCAUGCACACCUAACUUCAUUCACUCCUGCGAGUUUCUAGAGGAAUCAGUAUGAUUCCUUGCUGUGCACAUUCUUAUUCCCUUUAAACUCCCAUACACACAAAAAGUGUGAAAACAGUCUUUUUAUUUUGUGGAAACUCUUUAAA